rnacentral:rRNA from 1 species
UGGGCUUGACAUGCUUGGAUUAUCCCUGUGAAAGCAGGGUAGGCCCUUCGGGGUACAACAAGUACAGGUGCUGCAUGGCUGUCGUCAGCUCGUGUCGUGAGAUGUCGGGUUAAGUCCCAUAACGAGCGAAACCUUUGCCCUUAGUUACCAGCGGGUUAAGCCGGGGACUCUAAGGGGACUGCCGGUGUCAAACCGGAGGAAGGUGGAGAUGACGUCAAGUCCUCAUGGCCUUUAUGCCCAGGGCCACACACGUGCUACAAUGGCGUCGACAAAGCGAGCCUAAAGCGCAAGCUGGUGGAAAACGCAAAAAUGACGCCCCAGUUCAGAUCGGAGGCUGCAACUCGCCUCCGUGAAGUUGGAAUCGCUAGUAAUCGCGGAUCAGCUACGCCGCGGUGAAUGUGUUCCUGAGCC